GACGAACGCUGGCGGCGUGCUUAACACAUGCAAGUCGAACGGAAAGGCCCUGCUUUUGUGGGGUGCUCGAGUGACGAACGGGUGAGUAACACGUGAGUAACCUGCCCUUGACUUUGGGAUAACUUCAGGAAACUGGGGCUAAUACCGGAUAGGAGCUCCUGCUGCAUGGUGGGGGUUGGAAAGUUUCGGCGGUUGGGGAUGGACUCGCGGCUUAUCAGCUUGUUGGUGGGGUAGUGGCUUACCAAGGCUUUGACGGGUAGCCGGCCUGAGAGGGGGACCGGCCACAUUGGGACUGAGAUACGGCCCAGACGCCUACGGGAGGCAGCAGUGGGGAAUAUUGCACAAUGGGCGGAAGCCUGAUGCAGCAACGCCGCGUGCGGGAUGACGGCCUUCGGGUUGUAAACCGCUUUCGCCUGUGACGAAGCGUGAGUGACGGUAAUGGGUAAAGAAGCACCGGCUAACUACGUG
rnacentral:rRNA from 1 species